CUGUCCUGCAGUUGUUUGUGACGCAAGAGGUCACUCACUAUAUGCCGUGUGCUUCCCAAGCGGCGAAAAGGAAGUUCUUCAUGCAAGGAACUCCCAAUUAUUAAGCAUAAACACCGAAGCGGAGGGAGAGAUAAGGGGCCAGGAACAACACACGGCAAAUUGUCUAACUGAUGCGUACACAGCUUGAUUCGCUGAUUCGCUGGAGGCGAUGGUGCAGGAGUGAGGGCCAGCGGAUGUCGCUCCCGGGGCUUACUGGAUAACUCAGGAUAAUAAAACCAAGCACUGCAACAAGGGGGGGAAGCCUGCUGCAAUGUGAAGGAGGCCUUGGGAGAAAUAAAGGUCCGGGAAGUGUGGAAGAUUGUCAAGUGACAUUUGGAAGUGGUGUAACUGAAAAAGCUACAGAGCCAACAGAAGAUAGUACCCACCUCCUUCCAGGUCUGUCUUUGAAAAAGCUCACAGACAGAAGCUCCACCAACUGGUGGAAUUGCCCUGGAAUUCUGCAAUACCACAGAUGGGGAGGCUUGAAUAUUCCUGGACUGACUCAGCCUGUUCACUUUGCCUGGCUUGUAAGACAAUAGACGAUUCUUUCUUGCUCGUGGAGAUCCAAAAUUAAAAGUAAA